GUGGGGAAUAUUGCACAAUGGGCGGAAGCCUGAUGCAGCAACGCCGCGUGCGGGAUGACGGCCUUCGGGUUGUAAACCGCUUUCAGCAGGGACGAAGCGUGAGUGACGGUACCUGCAGAAGAAGCACCGGCUAACUACGUGCCAGCAGCCGCGGUGAUACGUAGGGUGCGAGCGUUGUCCGGAUUUAUUGGGCGUAAAGAGCUUGUAGGCGGUUGGUUGCGUCGAAAGUGCAAACUCAGGGCUUAACUCUGAGCCUGCUUUCGAUACGGGCUGACUGGAGGAAGGUAGGGGAGAAUGGAAUUCCCGGUGGAGCGGUGGAAUGCGCAGAUAUCGGGAGGAACACCAGUGGCGAAGGCGGUUCUCUGGACCUUUCCUGACGCUGAGAAGCGAAAGCGUGGGGAGCAAACAGGCUUAGAAACCCUAGUAGUCC
rnacentral:rRNA from 1 species